GGGGUAUGCAAUAGACUUACCUCCACAUGGUGCACCCCGGGCAACGUAUUCUCAUACGGCGAAAAUGUCUAU
rfam:Hymenolepis nana genome assembly, scaffold: HNAJ_scaffold0000780